AGUGAACGCUGGCGGUAGGCCUAACACAUGCAAGUCGAACGGCAGCACAGUAAGAGCUUGCUCUUACGGGUGGCGAGUGGCGGACGGGUGAGGAAUACAUCGGAAUCUACUUUUUCGUGGGGGAUAACGUAGGGAAACUUACGCUAAUACCGCAUACGACCUACGGGUGAAAGCAGGGGAUCUUCGGACCUUGCGCGAUUGAAUGAGCCGAUGUCGGAUUAGCUAGUUGGCGGGGUAAGGGCCCUCCAAGGCGACGAUCCGUAGCUGGUCUGAGAGGAUGAUCAGCCACACUGGAACUGAGACACGGUCCAGACUCCUACGGGAGGCAGCAGUGGGGAAUAUUGGACAAUGGGCGCAAGCCUGAUCCAGCCAUACCGCGUGGGUGAAGAAGGCCUUCGGGUUGUAAAGCCCUUUUGUUGGGAAAGAAAAGCAGCAGGUUAAUACCCCGCUGUUCUGACGGUACCCAAAGAAUAAGCACCGGCUAACUUCGUG
rnacentral:rRNA from 1 species